rnacentral:rRNA from 1 species
AGUGAACGCUGGCGGCGUGCUUAACACAUGCAAGUCGAACGAGAACGGAUUUUAGCUUGCUAAAAUUGUCAGCUAAGUGGCGCACGGGUGAGUAAUAUAUAGGUAACGUGCCCUAGAGAGGGGAUAACAUUUGGAAACGAAUGCUAACACCCCAUAUGCCUUUAACACAUAAGUGUGCAAGGGAAAUAUUUAUAGCUCUAGGAUCGGCCUGUACGGUAUCAGUUAGUUGGUGAGGUAAUGGCUCACCAAGACAAUGACGCCUAACUGGUUUGAGAGGAUGAUCAGUCACACUGGAACUGAGACACGGUCCAGACUCCUACGGGAGGCAGCAGUGGGGAAUAUUGCACAAUGGGGGAAACCCUGAUGCAGCAACGCCGCGUGGAGGAUGACACAUUUUCGGU